rnacentral:rRNA from 1 species
UACAUGGGGUGCAAACGUUGCUCGGAAUUAUUGGGCGUAAAGCGCACGUAGGCGGUUCGUUAAGUCGGAUGUGAAAGCCCUCGGCUCAACUGAGGAAGUGCACCCGAAACUGGCGAGCUUGAGUACGAAAGAGGAUCGCGGAAUUCCCGGUGUAGAGGUGAAAUUCGUAGAUAUCGAGAGGAACACCUGCGGCGAAGGCGGGUAGCUGGGCCGACACUGACGCUGAGGCGCGAAAGCCAGGGGAGCGAACGGG